UACGUAGGUGGCAAGCGUUAUCCGGAAUUAUUGGGCGUAAAGCGCGCGCAGGCGGUUUUGUAAGUCUGUCGUGAAAUCCCCGGGCUUAACCUGGGAAUGGCGAUGGAGACUGCAAGGCUAGAAUCUGGCAGAGGGGGGUAGAAUUCCACGUGUAGCAGUGAAAUGCGUAGAGAUGUGGAGGAACACCGAUGGCGAAGGCAGCCCCCUGGGCUAAGAUUGACGCUCAUGCACGAAAGCGUGGGGAGCAAACAGG
rnacentral:rRNA from 1 species